rnacentral:rRNA from 1 species
UUCGAGUGGCGGACGGGUGAGUAACGCGUGGGUAACCUGCCUUACACAGGGGGAUAACACCUGGAAACAGGUGCUAAUACCGCAUAAGCGCACAGGGCCGCAUGGCCCGGUGUGAAAAACUCCGGUGGUGUAAGAUGGACCCGCGUCUGAUUAGCUUGUUGGCGGGGUAGGGGCCCACCAAGGCGACGAUCAGUAGCCGGCCUGAGAGGGUGGACGGCCACAUUGGGACUGAGACACGGCCAAACUCCUACGGGAGGCAGCAG